rnacentral:rRNA from 1 species
ACGAUGAAGCUGGAGCUUGCUCCGGUGGAUUAGUGGCGAACGGGUGAGUAACACGUGAGCAAUCUGCCCUUGACUCUGGGAUAACUGCGGGAAACUGUAGCUAAUACCGGAUACUUUCCUCGGUGGGCAUCCACUGGGGAAGAAAGAAUUUCGGUCAAGGAUGAGCUCGCGGCCUAUCAGCUAGUUGGUGAGGUAAUGGCUCACCAAGGCGACGACGGGUAGCCGGCCUGAGAGGGUGACCGGCCACACUGGGACUGAGACACGGCCCAGACUCCUACGGGAGGCAGCAGUGGGGAAUAUUGCACAAUGGACGCAAGUCUGAUGCAGCAACGCCGCGUGAGGGACGAAGGCCUUCGGGUUGUAAACCUCUUUUAGCAGGGAAGAAGCGAAAGUGACGGUACCUGCAGAAAAAGCACCGGCUAACUACGUGCCAGCAGCCGCGGUAAUACGUAGGGUGCAAGCGUUGUCCGGAAUUAUUGGGCGUAAAGAGCUCGUAGGCGGUUUGUCACGUCUGCUGUGAAAUUUCGAGGCUCAACCUCGAACUUGCAGUGGGUACGGGCAGGCUAGAGUGCAGUAGGGGAGAUGGGAAUUCCUGGUGUAGCGGUGGAAUGCGCAGAUAUCAGGAGGAACACCAAUGGCGAAGGCACAUCUCUGGGCUGUAACUGACGCUGAGGAGCGAAAGCGUGGGGAGCGAACAGGAUUAGAUACCCUGGUAGUCCACGCCGUAAACGGUGGGUGCUAGCUGUGGGCCACAUUCCACGUGGUCCGUGACGAAGUUAACACAUUAAGCACCCCGCCUGGGGAGUACGGCCGCAAGGCUAAAACU